GACGAACGCUGGCGGCGUGGAUUAGGCAUGCAAGUCGAAUGGUAUCAGUCCUUCGGGGGUGAGAGAGUGGCGAACUGGUGAGUAACACGUAGGUUAUCUACCCUCAAGGACGGGGACAACCCAGGGAAACUUGGGCUAAUACCGGAUGUGAGCAACUUUUAGUGUUUGAAAGGUGGCGUAAGCUGUCGCUUGGGGAUGAGCCUGCGUCCUAUUAGUUAGUUGGUGAGGUAACGGCUCACCUAGGCAAUGAUAGGUAGGCGGCCUUAACGGGUGGUCGCCCACACUGGGAUUGAGAUACGGCCCAGACUCCUACGGGAGGCAGCAGUCGAGAAUAGUCUACAAUGGUCGGAAGACUGAUAGUGCGACGCCGCGUGAACGAUGAAUCCCUUCGGGGUGUAAAGUUCUUUUAUAUGUGAGCAGUGCUUCUUAUAUUAACAGUAUGGGGAGAGAGAUAUUAGCAUAUGAAUAAGCAACGGCUAACUCCGUG
rnacentral:rRNA from 1 species